rnacentral:rRNA from 1 species
CGAAAUAGUGAUAUGGAGACAAAACCCUAAAAGUAGUCUCAGUUCGGAUUGAAGGCUGAAAUUCGCCUUUAUGAAGCCGGAAUUGCUAGUAAUGGCAGGUCAGCAUACUGCCGUGAAUACGUUCCCGGGCCUUGUACACACCGCCCGUCACACCAUGAGAGUUGGGAAUACCCGAAGCCUGUGAGCUAACUUAACGGAGGCAGCAGUCGAAGGUAGAAUCAAUGAUUGGGGUGAAGUCGUAACAAGGUAGC